rnacentral:rRNA from 1 species
AACGCGUCUCCGUUAAUGAUUUUAGGUGCUUGCACUUGAAAGAAUUUAACAUUGAGACGAGUGGCGAACUGGUGAGUAACACGUGGGUAACCUGCCCUUGAAGUAGGGGAUAACACUUGGAAACAGGUGCUAAUACCGUAUAACAACCAAAACCACCUGGUUUUGGUUUAAAAGACGGCUUCGGCUGUCACUUUAGGAUGGACCCGCGGCGUAUUAGCUUGUUGGUAAGGUAACGGCUUACCAAGGCGAUGAUACGUAGCCGACCUGAGAGGGUAAUCGGCCACAUUGGGACUGAGACACGGCCCAAACUCCUACGGGAGGCAGCAGUAGGGAAUCUUCCACAAUGGACGAAAGUCUGAUGGAGCAACGCCGCGUGAGUGAUGAAGGGUUUCGGCUCGUAAAACUCUGUUGUUGGAGAAGAACAGGUGUCAGAGUAACUGUUGACAUCUUGACGGUAUCCAACCAGAAAGCCACGGCUAACUACGUGCCAGCAGCCGCGGUAAUACGUAGGUGGCAAGCGUUGUCCGGAUUUAUUGGGCGUAAAGCGAGCGCAGGCGGUUUUUUAGGUCUGAUGUGAAAGCCUUCGGCUUAACCGGAGAAGUGCAUCGGAAACCGGGAGACUUGAGUGCAGAAGAGGACAGUGGAACUCCAUGUGUAGCGGUG